rnacentral:lncRNA from 1 species
ACAAAUUUUUAAAAAAUAACACAAGUUAUGUACAUUUUUAGUGUUUUUUUCAACAGAUUUCUUUCUACUCUAACUUAAGUGGUAUUUUAACCCUUGUGCUAUCCUAUGACCCCAACCUUACAUUGAUAGUUUCUUAUUAAAGAAAAUGAAUUUAAAAGGGUUUGUGCGCCCUCUGGUGGAGUGACAAAUCAUAGCAAGGAACGAACAUUAAACCAGUGUCCUAAACUGCAUUUUUUUUAUUGGUCUCAUGGGUUCAAGCCCUUACUAUUUCAUAACCAUAAAGAGUGUGACACUCAUUAUUAUUGUUUUUUUUCUAAAGGACGGGGGGAUUUAGUGCAUGAAAUAAACAUAAUGACAGAUGGUUCAGUCAGGUAGCCAUAAAGGCGAGCCAAAAUCCUCCUCCAAGGGAAACGCGGUGAUGCGUUUGAGCACAUGCUCUGUGUUUCAAAAAUGUCCUUUCUGCAGAAGCUCCGAGUAGUUUUAAACCCACUCGUGUCCGCUGCGGGAUUGUUUGAGUGCAUUGAAGUGGAUCUGAAACGCCUUGGCAACGGUCCGCAUCCACGUGCAUCACCCGGCGUUGUUUAUUUUUAGAACGGUAGAAACGGUUAUUUUUCUUUCUUUCUUUUUUUUCGUUUUGUUCAUGGCAGAGAAACCACAAACAGAAGACAUGAACCCACCAGCAAACAGGGAAUUCACGAGGAGGAGAUCUAUGUUCCUGAUGGAGUAUGAGACCCGCUUCCUCUCACCAGGCCUCGAAAAAUAUGCCUCACACAAAAAAGACAAGAAAAGAGACCCAUCAAUGCAAAAGGCUGCGCUGCCACCAGCACCACCUAAACGACACUCUGCACCUCAGGGGGAAAAGGACAACAAGGCCUUCCAUACAACCACUUACACAGAGGAUUUUAAAGCUUGGAAAGCCAAGAAACGUCACCCAUGCAAGCUUGAGGACAACUUAGUAGCUUCCCAUGGACUGGUUCCUGUGAGGGAUUCUUCCAAAGAGAGCAGGAAGUGCCAACAGAAAGACGACCGGCUCCCGAAGGACGACGGACACUCUGAGAGGGUCACCAGCGGCAGGCUGGAUUUUUCCGCCACAGUAGAUGAGGCGCAGAAAAGCUGGAGGAUGGCCUGGACCAGUGGAGGUCAUCUCCCUCCGGCUGACGUCAGGGACUCUCUGAAGGUUUUGAAGCUCUACUCUCAGUUCAAGGAGGCUAAUCCAGCAGCAGAGCACAAGCACCAGUGGCCAAAGGCAGAGCGUGAAGCCAGCGAGGAUAAAGGCAUCGAGUGGACCGGGCUGUCUGUAAAGCCCAGAGAGAGAGGCAAGAUGGCGAUCCAGCCACCGCAAAAGGACGGCUGGGAAUCUGCUAUCCAGACAAACGAGGACGUCUCCAAACCAAACCAAAGCUGCAACAACCAGCCUCCUCAGGACUCGGUCUUGAAUUACUUCAUCAGCCUCCAUGAAGACUAA